GACGAACGCUGGCGGCGUGCUUAACACAUGCAAGUCGAACGGAAAGGCCCUGCUUGCAGGGUACUCGAGUGGCGAACGGGUGAGUAACACGUGGGUGAUCUGCCCUGCACUUCGGGAUAAGCUUGGGAAACUGGGUCUAAUACCGGAUAGGAACCAUCUUUAGUGUGGUGGUUGGAAAGUUUUUUCGGUGUAGGAUGAGCUCGCGGCCUAUCAGCUUGUUGGUGGGGUAAUGGCCUACCAAGGCGGCGACGGGUAGCCGGCCUGAGAGGGUGUACGGCCACAUUGGGACUGAGAUACGGCCCAGACUCCUACGGGAGGCAGCAGUGGGGAAUAUUGCACAAUGGGCGCAAGCCUGAUGCAGCGACGCCGCGUGGGGGAUGAAGGCCUUCGGGUUGUAAACUCCUUUCGCUAGGGACGAAGCUUUUUUGUGACGGUACCUAGAUAAGAAGCACCGGCUAACUACGU
rnacentral:rRNA from 1 species